rnacentral:rRNA from 1 species
AAGGGGUGUAUUUAUUAGAUUAAAAACCAAUGCCCUCCGGGGCUAGCUGGUGAAUCAUGAUAACUUAACGAAUCGCAUGGCCUUGCGCCGGGCGAUGGUUCAUUCAAAUUUCUGCCCUAUCAACUUUCGAUUGUAGGAUAGAGGCCUACAAUGGUAUCAACGGGUAACGGGGGAUAAGGGUUCUACUUCCGGAGAGGGAGCCUGAGAAACGGCUACCACAUCCAAGGAAGGCAGCAGGCGCGCAAAUUACCCAAUCCCGACACGGGGAGGUAGUGACAAUAAAUACUGAUACAGGGCUCUUUUGGGUCUUGUAAUUGGAAUGAGUACAAUCUAAAUCCCUUAACGAGGAACAAUUGGAGGGCAAGUCUGGUGCCAGCAGCCGCGGUAAUUCCAGCUCCAAUAGCGUAUAUUAAAGUUGUUGCAGUUAAAAAGCUCGUAGUUGAACGUUGGGCCUGGCUGGCCGGUCCGCCUCACCGCGUGUACUGGUUCGGCCGGGCCUUUCCUUCUGGGGAGCCGUAUACCCUUCAUUGGGUGUGCCGGGGAACCAGGACUUUUACUUUGAAAAAAUUAGAGUGUUCAAAGCAGGCCUUCGCUCGAAUACAUUAGCAUGGAAUAAUAGAAUAGGACGUGUGGUUCUAUUUUGUUGGUUUCUAGGACCGCCGUAAUGAUUAAUAGGGAUAGUCGGGGCCAUCCGUAUUCAAUUGUCAGAGGUGAAAUUCUUGGAUUUAUUGAAGACGAACUACUGCGAAAGCAUUUGGCAAGGAUGUUUUCAUUAAUCAGUGAACGAAAGUUAGGGGAUCGAAGACGAUCAGAUACCGUCGUAGUCUUAACCAUAAACUAUGCCGACUAGGGAUCGGACGGUGUUAUCAUUUUGACCCGUUCGGCACCUUACGAGAAAUCAAAGUAA